AGUGAACGCUGGCGGUAGGCCUAACACAUGCAAGUCGAACGGCAGCACAGUAAGAGCUUGCUCUUACGGGUGGCGAGUGGCGGACGGGUGAGAAAUACAUCGGAAUCUACUUUUUCGUGGGGGAUAACGUAGGGAAACUUACGCUAAUACCGCAUACGACCUACGGGUGAAAGCAGGGGAUCUUCGGACCUUGCGCGAUUGAAUGAGCCGAUGUCGGAUUAGCUAGUUGGCGGGGUAAAGGCCCACCAAGGCGACGAUCCGUAGCUGGUCUGAGAGGAUGAUCAGCCACACUGGAACUGAGACACGGUCCAGACUCUUACGGGAGGCAGCAGUGGGGAAUAUUGGACAAUGGGCGCAAGCCUGAUCCAGCCAUACCGCGUGGGUGAAGAAGGCCUUCGGGUUGUAAAGCCCUUUUGUUGGGAAAGAAAAGCAGCAGGUUAAUACCCCGCUGUUCUGACGGUACCCAAAGAAUAAGCACCGGCUAACUUCGUG
rnacentral:rRNA from 1 species